AAGGCUCCUUCGGGAGUACACGAGCGGCGAACGGGUGAGUAACACGUGGGCAACCUGCCCCCCUCUUCGGGAUAACCGCGAGAAAUCGUGGCUAAUACCGGAUAUGCACAUGUGCCCGCAUGGGUGUGUGUGGAAAGACUGUGUCGGUGGGGGAUGGGCUCGCGGCCUAUCAGCUUGUUGGUGGGGUGAUGGCCUACCAAGGCGACGACGGGUAGCCGGCCUGAGAGGGCGACCGGCCACACUGGGACUGAGACACGGCCCAGACUCCUACGGGAGGCAGCAGUGGGGAAUAUUGCACAAUGGGCGAAAGCCUGAUGCAGCGACGCCGCGUGAGGGAUGACGGCCUUCGGGUUGUAAACCUCUUUCAGCUCCGACGAAGCGCAAGUGACGGUAGGAGCAGAAGAAGCGCCGGCCAACUACGUGCCAGCAGCCGCGGUAAGACGUAGGGCGCGAGCGUUGUCCGGAUUUAUUGGGCGUAAAGAGCUCGUAGGCGGCUUGUC
rnacentral:rRNA from 1 species